GGACAAUGAGUUGAGCUUUUGAAAAAUCAGGAUUGCACCAGAAAUGCCCCUCUUUUGGAGGUGCCAGGAGAAAUAGGGUAAGUUCUGAAAUCUGCUGAACUAUAAAUCAGAAUCUUUAUGUUGAGCAAAGGUAUUUUGUCCUGAUGAAGCAAAAGGAGGAAACAAUUCUGAAGGAAAUACCAUAAUCACGAUGAUAACGAGAGAAUGCUAGUUGUAGCCAAACAGAAAAACACUAUAGAAUAGUAAACAUUUUUUUCUCCAGAAUCAAGCAGAGCUAUACUAAGGCAAGAUUGAGAGAGUUAGUUCUAUUGAAGUGGAGCAGCUGGAAAAUAUCUCAACUGAACCUGCUCUGUCGUGAGCUCCAGGAGACAGAAAAACAAGAGGACCAUGAGUACAUCAGAAGACAAGAAAGUCUCCUGCUUUCCGGUUUCUUACUGUAGUCAGUUUACUUCUAAGAAGAGGGUGGUGCAUUCAAAAGGAGCUUAGAAACACAAACUCCUCAUUCUGAUCAAGGACAGAAAAUCACGUAAGGAGAGUCAGAAGAGUCAUGAAACUCCAGCAACCCAGAAGUACAGUACUUAUAGCAGUGUUUCCCAAUAUUCUUCUGAUGGAGCUCCCCUUUCUAAUGAGCUGGCAGAUAGACACGCACACCUGCUUCCACCUAUGUCUAUUCAUGUCUUAUUUGGAACACUUUCCACUUUCUUUGAGUCCAUUUACUCUCAUUCUCAAGUGCCUUGGUCCUUUCUCUUCUAUAAUUUUUUCCUUUGCCAAUUCUAACUAUUCCUCAGUUUUGCUCCCCCGUUUUGUAGUUCCCCCUUCCUGUUCCCCAUUCAGCAGGAAGCUAUAUGCUGCUUAGAAUGGAGGCAUCUGUUGGUGGUUCCACAUGUCCAGGUUAGUUAUGCUCUUGCUAUUUAGUGGAUUAUCACAGGAGCAGUGAAAAGUGAGGUCUGAACCACCUGUUGCUGUCUGUACCAAAAGCCCUGUAGCUAGCAUCAUUAUGAACCACAGUGGAAACAGGGAAGGAAGGCAGGUUGCUUUCAAGAAGCACUCCAGCUUCACUUUCAGCCUCAAGAGAACAUUAAUUAUGGCAAGGGAAUAGUACAUUCUAGAGCAGAGGUGGGUAAACUACGGCCCACAGGCCACGUCCGGCCCAAGGGACUGUCC